rnacentral:rRNA from 1 species
GUGAGGAAUAUUGGUCAAUGGGCGAGAGCCUGAACCAGCCAAGUCGCGUGAAGGAUGAAGGUUUUAUGAAUUGUAAACUUCUUUUGCAGGGGAAUAAAGUACGGUACGUGUACCGUUUUGUAUGUACUCUGCGAAUAAGGAUCGGCUAACUCCGUGCCAGCAGCCGCGGUAAUACGGAGGAUCCGAGCGUUAUCCGGAUUUAUUGGGUUUAAAGGGUGCGUAGGUGGUUUGAUAAGUCAGCGGUGAAAGUUUGCAGCUUAACUGUAAAAAUGCCGUUGAAACUGUCGGACUUGAGUGUAAAUGAGGUAGGCGGAAUGCGUGGUGUAGCGGUGAAAUGCAUAGAUAUCACGCAGAACUCCGAUUGCGAAGGCAGCUUACUAAGCUACAACUGACACUGAAGCACGAAAGCGUGGGGAUCAAACAGGAUUAGAAACCCGGGUAGUCC